AGCAGCAAAGCAGCCAAUUGGUUGAAUGCUAACUGCGAAUUGCGUACUAAAUGAAGACUGAAGGACUCGAGGCAGCUACAGGUUACAGCCCUAAAGGUUGUGCUAGCUAGCAAGCCGGUGCCGAGGCGUCCAGCCAUUUAGGCACGAAUCAUGAAUCAUCCAGGUAUACUUUAAUGGUUCGUCUGAAGGGUUCUGAUGAAGAAACCUUAGACAACAUGGGUUGGACGGUGCAAAAAGAGGCUUUAGUAUUGCCAGGACACUCAAAAGACUGUAAAGACAAUGUACAGCCCAUGCAAUCAUUCAUAAUGAUUAAAUUCAGAUAUUAGGGAAAUAAUUCAAAUACUUGAGUGGUUUGGGUAUGUAAAAUUUGGAGAAGUGGAAGUUUUAAACUAACAGUUAUUUAGGAAAUCAAAGAGAAGAAAUGUGUUUUUAGUGAUAGCAAGGAUCACACAAUAUGGCCUGUUCGUGUGAUAUUGUAUUGCUGUUUUCAUCGAGUUUAACCAAUCCGCGUCCGCACUCUACUCUGGCCCAGGUAAAAUCUAUUGUACCAGAUUAGGAGUCCUUCACGGCGUGAGGGGCAAUUAGUGUCACUUUUUCUCAUUAAUGACAUUGAAAUUUCUGGUCACCCCAAAAUCAGAAGUAGUAUUGGUUAUGUGAUCACAUCCAGCGUAAGGUAAAUUUCUUAUUUUGUUUGGAGCUCAUGAAGAGGAAUCUUUAUCAAUAUCAAAUCAAUUUGAAAUAGCUUUUGGGAAAAGGAAAGUCUUUCCCAGUGGCAUGUCAACAAGUUUAAGUAUUUCCAAUGAGACAGAUUGAUCAAUCAACAUAUGAUUAAACUUCCUGUUUCCCGAUAGGGAUUCUAUCAAAACUCUAUUACGGUGUACCGUACCCCAAAAGAUUCCGAAAUGGUUCGUCAGUUGCGCCUUCACGGCCGUGUAGUAGAACCUUUUAAAGGCGGAAACUCUAGAAUCUAGAUGGCGUUGAUGUGCGUCUAUUUGGAAGAUUACGAAUGUCAAGUUAAAUGGGAGUUUGUUACGUUACUCUGUUUUGUGUUUUAAAGGAUUUUUCUUCAACAAAUUUACGAUUGCUUUUUGUAUGUGGUGGUGUUUCCCCUUGUCAGCUAUGCCAGCCGCUGAACCAACAGCCUGCAUUCCUGCUAUUAAUGUACCACAAGGGAUCCUGACACUUUAAGAAGGCCACUAUUCCUUACAUGAAAAUCACCAUCCAGUUCAAGUACUGCUAAUGGACCUCAAGCCUUUCGUUUAAGCUUAGUGAUGUCUUCUCUCAUCAGUCAACGACAGAGUCUUCAUCUACUUUGUGUUGCUAACCAUCAGCCCUCAGCAUCCCAGGUAUCCAGAUUUCCAAGUUUCUCUGAUUAGCCAACCAUCAUCCAUACCCUUCAGCUCUUCAUUGUGGCUUCUCUUCCUCUCAUCUUAGUCUGCUGAAUGCCAACAUUGAAUAAUGUUCAUCAUCAUUGCCUUUCUAUGAAAAUCUUCACUGUUAGUCCUGCUGUUCUUCUCACCAUUACUUAGCCAGCUCACAUGGAUAGGCUUUAACAACAUCUCCAUUUUUUGGACUGCAAAUAUUCAUUUUCCUUCGGUACAACACUGCCGUUUUGACAAUUUCGGUAGUUUCGCCCCCAGUUGACCACACGCAACUACAUUUUCCUCGUCUUCCUGUCGUUGUUGUCUACGACUUCACUUCAUCGCUGUCUUCGUUGACGUCUUCGCCUUCAUCUCCGUCUCGUCGUCUUGGUCGUCUUGGUCGUCUUCGCCUUCAUCUCCGUCUCGUCGUCUUGGUCGUCUUCGCCUUCAUCUUCGUCUCGUCGUCUUGGUCGUCUUCGCCUUCAUCUCCGUCUCGUCGUCUUGGUCGUCUUCGCCUUCAUCUCCGUCUCGUCGUCUUCGCCGUCUUUGUCUACGUCAUCACCCCGUCGCUGGCUUCUCCUUCACCCUUCAUGUAGGGAAUUCAUCGUGGGUCGUCGCUCUGGUAUUGUUUUAUAUUGCAUUGUUAUGUUUAAGUUAACCCGUUGGCUGCCACCCCGUUUGCGUCCCAUUUUUGUUGUAGCUUGUAGGGACCGGCCGCAAUGGCCUUCGCCGUAAGGCGCCUUAGGCAAUGCACCAGUAGGGACUUCUCUUUGUCGAUGCGGUGGCGGAUUCCUGAGGGUGUGCAUUCCCUGUAACGGAUUCCGUCACCAUGUCAGCCCGGACUUGUCUACGGACAAGUCCCACCUUGUUCGCGAUCCUUAUGAUGCGAUGCGUAGUAACUGUAGUUUAAGCAACCUACGGGUUGCAUGGCCUGGCAGCCAACGGGUUAACUUAGUUAAGUGUAUCUACGUUUGUGUAUAUAAUUGUGUCUACAUUUAUUCUGUUAUGUAAAAUAGUGGUGGAAUUGUUGGGAGGAGGUGGGACAAUAAAAGCAAUUACAAUUUUAA